rnacentral:rRNA from 1 species
GGUCCCGCACAAGCAGCGGAGCGUGUGGUUUAAUUCGUUGCUACACGAAGAACCUUACCUGGGUUUGACAUAGCAGUGGUAGGGAAGCGAAAGCAGACCGACCCUUCGGGGAGCUGUUACAGGUGUUGCAUGGCUGUCGUCAGCUCGUGUCGUGAGAUGUUCGGUUAAGUCCGCUAACGAGCGCAACCCGCGUUGUGUGUUACAAGUGUCACACAAUACCGCCGGUAUUAAGUCGGAGGAAGGUGCGGAUGACGUCAAGUCAGCAUGACCUUUAUAUCCAGGGCUACACACACGCUACAAUGGUCAGCACAAUAGGUUGCCAAGUCGUGAGACGGAGCCAAUCCUCCAAAGCUGGCCUCAGUUCAGAUUGUAGGCUGCAACCCGCCUGCAUGAAGUUGGAGUUGCUAGUAACCGCAGGUCAGCUAUACUGCGGUGAAUACGUUCCCGGGGAUU